CGGGAAGUGGCUCAGUUUGGUAGAGCACCUGGUUUGGGAUCAGGGGGUCGCAGGUUCAAAUCCUGUCUUCCCGAUCA
rnacentral:tRNA from 1 species